rnacentral:rRNA from 1 species
AACGAACGCUGGCGGCAUGCCUAACACAUGCAAGUCGAACGAGACCUUCGGGUCUAGUGGCACACGGGUGCGUAACGCGUGGGAACCUGCCCUUAGGUUCGGAAUAACUCCCCGAAAGGGGUGCUAAUACCGGAUAAUGUCUUCGGACCAAAGAUUUAUCGCCUUUGGAUGGGCCCGCGUUGGAUUAGCUAGUUGGUAGGGUAAAAGCCUACGAAGGCGACGAUCCAUAGCUGGUCUGAGAGGAUGAUCAGCCACACUGGGACUGAGACACGGCCCAGACUCCUACGGGAGGCAGCAGUGGGUAAUAUUGGACAAUGGGCGAAAGCCUGAUCCAGCAAUGCCGCGUGAGUGAUGAAGGCCGUAGGGUUGUAAAGCUCUUUUACCCGGGAUGAUAAUGACGGUACCGGGAGAAUAAGCUCCGGCUAACUCCGUG